ensembl:lncRNA
CUGACAUACUUUCCCCCAGCUCCAACUAUUGACUGUUCUAAUCUGUAGAGCAGAACAUCUCCUGUAACUAUCAAAGGGGUGAUGAGGGGCAUGCCCCUCUGCUAGUUUCCCUGGUAACCACCGAGUCAAUCUGAGGUUGGUUCCCCAUAUAACUUGUAUCCGCCCCCUCCCACUGGGAGCAAACAUGGCUGCUGUGCCCCACCCGUCAUGACACACCCGCAGGCCACCGCACGCUGUGGGCUGUCCCUUUAGGACCUUGCUUCCGACAGGGAGAGAAUGGUAGAAGAGGAUAAGAUUUCCUCCCUGGAUUGAUAAUACAGUUUUUAAUAAAGCUGUAUCGGGUGCAGAGCUGGAUAUGAACUUCCAAGUGUGCCAGUUUGAUGUACCUUCGCUGCUGUCUUCUCUCGGAUCUGGAGAGGUUACCUACCUUUCUUAUUCCUUUUAUUUUUUUGGAGGGGAACUGAGUAGAAGGGAAGAAAGAAGCCAAAUGGGGGCAUGUUCAAAAUAAACCCAGGACUCUAAAGAUCG